rnacentral:misc_RNA from 1 species
GCUGACUAUCGGAUCGUUUUAGAAACAUCAGCGGCCAACAAUCGUCAGGAUUGUUGAGCUGCAUUGGCGGGAUUUCGCCGUCUUCGUUUCUCUUUCUUCGCGGACGAACACGCGCCAGGGGCUACAGCGCUGUGCGAUGCAUCGGCGCGAGCCGGUUGCGCGCGAGCAUGUCCCUGAUCCUCAACUGAGGGAAAGCGUUAGGGGCUUGUAGCUCAGUUGGUUAGAGCGCGCGCUUGAUAAGCGUGAGGUCGGAAGUUCAAGUCUUCCCAGGCCCACCACUUUGAUCGAGUGCGGAGCAUUCGUCUUCUGGUUACGGGGCCAUAGCUCAGCUGGGAGAGCGCGUGCUUUGCAAGCAUGAGGUCGUCGGUUCGAUCCCGUCUGGCUCCACCAGAUGAAAUCGAAGAUCGAGAAAGCCUCGAAUAGUCGUCCGCGAAACAUCAAUUCGCAUGCGUAGUCCUCACAAGGGUGCGUCAUGCGUGUUUUCUGACAUCGUAAAGAGGAGAUCGAUCCGAGUUUGGAUCAAGCGAAGCAAUUCGCCUGACCCAAUCACUAUCUCCGGGAUCAUUUCGGCGCUCGCUUCAGUCGUGAGAUUGAAUGCGGGUUGUAAAUGGUCCUUGUUAGCGAAGCUUGACCGCCUCGCUAUCGGUUCGAUCUUACGAAGCAAGCUGGUCUUUCUAGUCAAUGUCCGGCCGCAACAUCAGCAUUCAUCGAGGGUGCGCGCUUUGAGGUUUCGAUCUCAAGGCGAGUGUGCGGACAACAUUCUGCCGAGUGUGUGGACAUUGAUAAUGAGAGCAAUCAAGUGCCUUAAGGGUGUUCGGUGGAUGCCUUGGCGCUGAGAGGCGAUGAAGGACGUGCUACGCUGCGAUAAGCCGUGGGGAGCUGCGAAGAAGCUUUGAUCCACGGAUU